rnacentral:lncRNA from 1 species
UUAGUGUUCAUUGAACAACCGAGUGGAAAUUACAAGCAACAGGAAAGCGUAUUUUUACCACUUGUGAUUUUUUUUUCAUUACCGCAUGAAACUUCUACUUGUUUUGAACUUUUGAUACGAGCGAUAGUGGGAAGGAGAAACCAAACUCGAGACCUCGGGUUUGAGGGUGGAUACUCCUAACCAACUAAACUACAAGUCAUUUUCUCAAACUUCUGUGUGUUGAAGUAACUUGUCAUGAGAAGAUUAAUAUGAAUGUGGUAUGCUCCUCUUACAGUUACAAUGGGGAUAUGUUCGCGAGGGUUAUACGAGAAAUAUGCAGGAGAUUAAAAGAUGUCCUCAUCAAUGCCUUAAGGUGGUGAGAUUUUCUGGGUUCAUUGGGAUGGGCGGGUCAAUUAUCGAUACGGAGUUUGCCAUGUAUCUGGUGGAAAAUGCUGUGGUACUUGAAAAGUUUAUCAUAGAACUUGAAAAGGUCGAAUUAGCUUAUAUACUGCCAGAGUUUGCUACAACGGAGGAGAAAUUAGAAGCAACAAAGGAGCAUGCUUUGCAGCUAAUUGGAACACAAUUACCACCAGGAGCUGAGUUGUUUAUCAUAUAAGUCCUUUCAUUUAUCUGUUUUUGCAGCAUACUUGAAGCUUUUUUUUAGUCUGCAACAUUUGUAUAAUUCGCAGUUUGCAAGUUUGCAGUUACUGAUCAUGUAAUGUUUUAAGGGUAUCAAUGGAUUAGUUUUGAGUUGGGUAUGACCUUGGUUUCUUGAUGUCGGUUUUCCCAUAUUUAUUUUAUAAUUUUGACAUUUUUCUGAAGAGUGCUGCUAGAUUUACCUAAAUAACACAAGUGUCACAGCAAAGAUGAGAUAUAACCCAUGUUGACGAGUUGAGGGGAGACUGACUUGUUUAUCAAGUCGUUUGACUUUUCCACUUUGCAGCAACUACAACUAUGGUCAAGCAGGCAAGGACUCGGAAAGGAUCUGAUAAACAACCCGGAUCUAGUGCCCACGGACCCGGUUGUAUCAUUGUCUUGGAUGGCUCCACAGGAAAACAAGCCAUCAAGCCAUGAUGUCAUCAGUGGUAGGUCCAUCUAGGCAGACAGAUCAGCGGGUCGGAUUCCCGGGUAUGGAGUGAUCACCAACAUCAUCAACGGAGGGCUUGAAUGGGGCAAGGCUCAGGAUGCUAGGGUUGCUAGUCGGAUCGGGUUCUACAGAAGGUACUGUCAGAUUUUGGAAGUGAGUCCGGGGGAUAACUUGGAUUGUUACAAUCAAAGGUCUUCUGCCUAAAAAAAUAUGCUAAAGUUUAGUCUUGGAGAUGUUGUCAUAAGACAAUAAUCCCAUCCUAUGUACUAAAUGAAAUGCAAUGAUCCUAUGUAAUAAAGAAAUUUCUCGUUUACACUAUAAGUUAGUUGUCUUAGUUGUGAUACGAGGAUGAGAGAAUCGAACACAAAAACUUAGUUGAUGUUGUUGUUGCAAUGAUAAAUCACUUAAUAUUAUACUACUACUAAGAAACUUACUUUGUUUAUAAAGUUAUAGGCGGAAUCAUGUGCGCCUUGUUUAUAAAGUUACAGUUGAUGGUACCUUGCAAUUACCUUAAAUUCCUUUUCACUAAAUAGAAAUGAGCAUUAGUUGGAGAUGACAUAUAUAAAUUGAUAGGCAUAAUUGACGGAAAAAACAAUGUAUGGCCUUGUAAAAACAUUGUAAAGCUCCAACUAAGCUCCUAAACAUUGUGGGAUCAGUCAAUGGAGUACCUUCAUCCUUAAGUACUUGUGUGUGGGGUUUACAAGGAGUAAGACAUGGUUUACAAGAUUCCUUUCCAGCCUUUUUCAACAAAUCAUUCAUAUACUUUGACUGAGAAAUGAAGAUAUUACUAUUACUAGUGUUGUUUUAGUUUGAUGUUAUUGUAGAUGUGAACUUUUUUACAUAAUGUAGAGCUAAAAAUAGGUCCAAAAUUUCUGGAGGCGACACGUGGACUUUUAGCGAAAAAAAGACAAGACUGCCCUUAUUAAGCUUAGCAUCCUAAGACAUGCAUUUAGCAGACUACGACUGCUUAGAGCUCCACUGCACGUGGAAAAUGUCAAAGGUAUUUCAUGAUAAGAUUAUCCUUAAAUCCUAGCAUUAAUAUAGUCUUGAUUGAAUUCUAUCAAGUAAGUAAUCCCAAUUAUAUUUAAUUAGGGAUAAUUACCUUUAAUUCCAAGAUAUUAUUUACACAAUAUCCAGGGAAUAUUCUCACCAAAUCCUACCCUAAUGGUCGGCCAUCUCAUUUGUAAAUACCCCAUUUCUCCACAAAAAAUGGGUAAGGUUUUCUAUAUACAGAAAACCUUAAACAUUCACUCUUUUCAGGGAAACUAACUCAGGGCUUGUUUGGAUGUGCUUUUAAAAUGACUGAAAGCGUUUUUAGAGAAAAUGCUUUUGGAUUUCAAAAGCACUUUGAGUGCUUUUUCAGGAUUUACUUGCAUUUUUACUAUGGAUUGGUUCUAAAAACAUUUUCACCAAAAGCAUCCAAUCAUUUUAAAAGCACAUCCAAACAAGCUCUUAGGUCUUGGAAAUCUGUUCCCCUCCCCCCCCCCCCCAAAAAAAAUCAUGGGUGAGUGAGGUCUUUGAUUUUUUUAUCAAAUGUGUUGAUUGUUUUGCAGGUGCAUUUUCAUCAAAACUGAAAAUAGCGGAAAUUUGCAUUGACACAUAUAAUUUGAAGAUGCUCUUAUCCUACUGAUCAUAUAAUGUUAAAGGUCUUUGUUUUCAUAUUUAUUUUAGAAUUUUAAAUAUUUUCUUACAUGUCUUAUUUUUCUCACAUGUCCUCCCUUAAUGAAAAUUCUCACAACAAAAUUUAUCUAAAGUGGAUCAAAAUUUUGAAUGAAUAGGUGAGAAUAACAACCAUUCUCUUUGAAUAUCUAAAUAUCAAAAAUGCUACUCUUGUCAUAUUUUUAUAUCAUAUUUGUGCUCUUAUUUAAUAGAGAUAGAACGCACUUAUAUUGGUGUGUCACAUAAAGGAGAUAAACAAGAGGAAAAGUGCUUAUAAAGGAAAAACAAGUGGGAGAGUGCAAAAUAACUAUUUUUGGGCAAUAAUAACGUCCUUAGUUAUAUGUUAAAUCAAUUUUGUAAUUAUGCAUUAUUUUUUCCGUCUCAUUGUGUCUCGGUUUAAAUUCUCUCUGGUAAUGAUUAGUGUAUAUCAAUUAUAAUAAUUAAAUUAAAAUAAUUUAUUAUGUAUAGAUGAUAUUUAAGGGUGACUUUUUUGUUUUGGUACAAACGAUAUUAUCGUCACUAAGAAAAAUGGAGGUUAGCCUCAUAAUGAGCUAGCAAUAUAAUGGUUCAAAUUCAUCAUUGACGAGAAUCGAAUCUAAAAUCUCUUACUUAUAAAUGAAGAUAAAUAUUAUUUUACGAUAAUCAAAAGAGAGACUCGCAGGUACAAAGACAACUAUAAAGAGGAAGGUAUCUAGCUUUAUGUUUCCUCCAUGUCUCUUUUUUGUACAUUUUAACUUCUCUAGUAAGCUCGAGUAUCCAUUUUCCAACCCCAACACUCUCCCCACAUUUCCGGCUGUCCACGUUGGCCAAUCAUCACCUGAGCCACUCCCAACCCUCACCGCGGUGCCCACCCCUCCACCACCACCACCUCCUUCUCCUCUCUCCGAUCUCCUCGAAAACCAGUUACGAAAUCCUAAAAACAAGUAAGUUCCCUUCUUCCUCGCUCUCUUUCUGAUUUAACAUUAUCUAGCUUAUUUGAUAUCAUCCAUGAAUUUAUAUUUUAUCGCCUUUGAAAUCGACGAAUAUUAAGUAAUUUAGUUACAUUCAUCGUUUUUGAAAAUUCUAAAAAUUAGUUUCAAAUCGAUCAUUAAGUAAUUUAGCUGCUAAACUGACUAGCUAGUAGCUAGCAUGAGACUCUAGGCUCUGGCAUACUUACUGACAGGUUCUUUGUAAAUUUUUCUAACUUGCCUCAGAAUCUGCAGCUUAUCUGACUAAAUUGUUCCAGUAUUAAGUUCAAUAGUUAGCAAAUCGAAGAAGGUUCGAUGGAAAUUCCAACUGCAUCAACAUAUGAUAAAAAACAAGAUAAAACUCCGAUGAAUUUGGGUGAUAAGGGAGAAACAAGUAAUCCGUUGGAGGAUCGGAUUAGUCAACUGCCCGACGCGGUUCUGGUUGACAUCAUUUCCCCGUUGAGGAUUAAGGAAGUAGCAAGGACUAGUGUCCUCUCUAAGAGGUGGAGAUAUUUGUGGACACAUGUUACACGUCUCAACUUUGCUCAUCAUGUUGGUGAACAUCCACGUACCUCCACAAGGACCACAACAGUUAAUCCGUCAGAGAGAAGACCUCUAGAAGAAGGGAUCAGCAGAAGACAACGAAUCCGGCAAACGCGCCAGGGUUUAACACCUUUAAACUUAGGCGAAUUCAGAGUUGGUUCUUCCUCAGAGGGUUCCGGUUCAAGAUCUAGGCACCCCGAUGCGAUUCCAAGACAAAUUGGCCCACCAUCACCACCACCGUGUACGGUGGUGACUAAAGUCCUGCAAUCGCAUCAGGGUCCAACCGUCGAUGGGAUCAGAAUUUGUGGGUCUUGUUAUAACUCGGAUCAUGUUGAUAAUGUUAUCGAAUUUGCAAUUCAAAAGAAAGUUCAAAGGCUUGAGCUAGAGAAAUCGAAAGAAAAAGACGCCAAGUUUUGGGAGAAGCCAUUCAAAAACCCUUUCGGUGUUUCACGCAUUAAGUCCCUUAGACACCUCUCUUUGAAGUACAUAAGUAUAAGCGAUAAAGUUGUUGGGCUGGUUCUAUCCGACUGUCAACUUCUUGAACACCUCAGUAUUUAUGACUCAAGCAAUCUUUGUGUUGUGAAAGCAGUUGGUUCAUCACUCCGGUUGAAGUUCUUGCGAGUAAGUCGUUGCCGUAGCUUAGUCAGAGUUGAGAUUUCUGCCCCUAAUCUUGUGUCAUUUAUAUAUGACGGUCCAAAUAUGUAUAGAAGAGGAAUUGUUUUGAAACAUGCACCCAAGCUUGUCAACGUAUCUCUUUCAGAAGACGAACCUGCUAAUAUUACCAAAGAUCUUCUGUCGAUUACCAGAGAUCUUCUGUCGAUAUCAGCUCGAUUUUCAUAUAUACAGACUCUCAACCUGUCGAUGAAUAUGACAAGACGGGUUAGACUCUCAACCUGUUGUUUACUUUAAAAUUUUCCUAUCUUCUUGUACUUGUUGGCUGAUCAUUUUCAAGUUUUUUGUGUUCCUGUUUGUCAGACAAAUGUUAUGCUUCCACAAUUUCCAGACUUAACUAGUCUCAAAGACUUGUCGUUGACUAUACAUGCCCAAAAUGAUGGGCAAAGUCUCCUGGAUUUGACUUCCUUGUUAGAGCAAUCUCCUUUCUUGCAGAGAUUAACAUUGAAGGUAAAAAUCAAUACAUCUAUUAGAGUGGUUUAUAUCAUCGCAAAGCGUCUAUCACAUUUUUACAAGUCAUAUUUUGAUCCUCUACUUUUCAAAUAGAUGAAUGUGGUCAUCAACCUUGUAUUACUGACAAUUCCGUUGUUCAUAGAAAGGGAAAGUUCGUUUCAUCAGUAUAGUUUACAAGUAGAGUUAUAGAAAGGGAAGGGCCAUUUCAUGAUUUGAGAUCGUAACAAGUGAAAUUGUUCAAUUUUUCUCUUUACUGAAUUAAACUUCUGCAUGUUUUGAACUUUUGAUACAAGCGAUACUGGGGCGGAGAAACCAAACUCGAGACCUUGGGUAUGAGGGUGGAUGCUCUUAACCAACUAAACUACAAGCCAUUUUUCUCAAACUUCUGCAUGUUGAAGUAACUUGUCAUGAGAAGAUUAAUAUGAUUGUUGUAUGCCCCUCUUCCAGAUACAAUGGGGACCUGUUUGCAAGGGUUAUACCAGAAACAUGCAGGAGAUUAAAAGAUGUCCUCAUCAAUGCCUUAAGGAGGUGAGAUUUUCUGGGUUCAUUGGGAUGGGCGGGUCAAUUAUCGAUACAGAGUUUGCCAUGUACCUGUUGGAAAAUGCUGUGGUACUUGAAAAGUUUAUCGUAGAACUUGAAAAGGUUGAAUUAGCUUUAUGGCCCAAUAUACUGCCAUGGUUUGCUACACCGGAGGAGAAAUUAGAAGCAACAAGGGGGCAUGCUUUGCAGCUCAUUGGAACACAACUACCACCAGGAGCCGAGUUGGUUAUCAUUUAAGCCCUUUCAUUUACCUGUUUUUGCAGCGUACUUGAAGCUCAUUUUAGUUUGCAACAUUUAUAUAAUUCGCAGAUUGCAAGUUUGUAAUUACCGAUCAUGUAAUGUUUUAGGGUUAUGAGUUGGGUGUGAUCUUGGUUUGUUGAUGCCUUUUUUCCUAUAUUUGUUUUAUAAUUUUGACAUUUUAUGAAGAGUGCAACUAGAUUUACUACAUGUCAUAUUUUCAUGCCCAUUCUUCCUUAAUGAAAAUGUUUAUUGCAAAUUUUAUUUAAGGCGGGUCGGGUUGGAAAAUAUGAGAAGUGUAGUUUGAAACAGUGUAUAAAAUUUUUCAAUCGAUUUUUUUUUUUGGAAAUAUCGAAAAAAUCAGAUAACAUAUGAAAAUGGAAAGUGAAGUUUAACGUUCACAAGAUGUCAGAGAAACUCUUAAAUUUCAGCUAAAAUCGACAGAUGUUAUUAAUAUUUUUUACAUCUCGAUUAAAUAUAAAAAAACUGCCAUAUAUCCUAAAGUUUCAUUUUAAAUGUCUACGUUUUUUUUAGCAAAUAUCCAUCACUUCCAUCGAAAGCGACUUAAUAUUAGGGAAUUGUUAUUAGCACUCCUAAAAUCUUAUUCUACACUCCAAACUGCAUGUAGGACGUUAGCAAUCCGGAGUCUAUCUUCACCAGGCCAACAAGACUGCAUGUAGGACGUUAGCAAUCCGGAGUCUAUCUUCACCAGGCCAAACGACUCUUCUGAUGAACUGCAACAAUUGACAAAAUCCCCAACUGGAAAGCCCUGGACAGGAAGCCACGAUAAUUUUUCACACUUCUAGUCAUUGGCUGUAAGAUCUAUACUAGAUUUUGUCAUCAACAUUGUAUUAUUGAUAAUUCUGUUCCUCCUAGAAAUCGCAAAAGCGUGGAAUUUAAAAUGAUGAAUUUAAUGUUCGUUUGGAAGUUUUGAAGUUUUUAUCUGUUUUUUUAUUUUUUAUUUUUUUGGCAUAUAGUUGAGAUUAGUGUUCAUUGAACAACCGAGUGGAAAUUAAAAGCAACAGGAAAGCGUAUUUUUACCACUUGUGAUUUUUUUUUUCAUUACCGCAUGAAGCUUUGUUUUGAACUUUUGAUACGAGCAAUAGUGGGGAGGAGAAACCAAACUCGAGACCUCAUAAAUGAGUGUGGAUGCUCCUAACCAACUAAACUACAAGUCAUUUUCUCAAACUUAUGCGUGUUGAAGUAACUCGUCAUGAGAAGAUUAAUAUGAAUGUGGUAUGCUCCUCUUGCAGUUACACUGGGGAUGUCUUCGAAAGGGUUAUAAGAGAAAUAUGCAGGAGAUUAAAAGAUGUCCCCAUCAAUGCCUUAAGGUGGUGAGAUUUUCUGGGUUCAUUGGGAUGGGCGGGUCAAUUAUCGAUAUAAGACUGAAAAUAGCGAAAGUUUGCAUUGACACAUAUCAUUUGAAGAUGCUCUUAUAUUACUGAUCAUAUAAGGUUAAAGGUCUUUGUUUUCAUAUUUAUUUUAGAAUUUUAAAGGUUUUCUUACACGUCUUAUUUUUCACAACAAAAUUUAUAUAAAGUGGGUCGAAAAUGUAACAACCCGUAUCCAAAUUUAUGUUUUCAAUGAGGAAAAUUACGAAAUUACCCUAGUGACGGAAAGGUCGACUUUUGUUGAAUUUCGUCUGUUAACGUAUUAGAAAUUUUCACUUAUUUUAUUCCCGUAGCUCUCGUCGAUAUGAACGUGUAGGCACGAUUGAAAUAGAAUUUGGAACUAAAACAAAGCUUUUACGAUUUUUGUACAAUAGAGGAAAUUAGGUAAUUUUGUGGUGGAUAUUUUUCUCCAUUUUGGGCCUCUACAUGGCCCACACGUGGCGAUUCCCCACCCCAUUAAUUGGGAUGUUUCCUUCCCCACCCAUGAGCCCUCUCUCUCUAGAACACUCUUGCUCUCUCUCGUCUCAUCUCCGGCGAGAUCACUCACACACCCAUACAUACAUACAUACACACAGACAGCUACCCAACCCUCAUCACCUCUAUCUGGACCUCCCUUCUCUCCCUCACCCCUCCGAGCUCUCUCUCUCUCUCUCUUUCACCUUCUUAGCAUUAUGCAUCGUCACUGUGCACGCGGUGUUUCGAUGAGGUAAGUUGAACUCACCCCUAAUAUAUGACGGGUUUAGUAAGGUGUUUCGCAAGUGUUUGAGGCUUUUUGGUAGUGUUUUAACACAGGAACACCACGGAACCAUUUUCUCUAUAUUUUUCGAUGAGACCCGACGACUUUCGAGCUAAUUUCCGGCCACGACACCACUCCAAAAUGGUACAAAUCUCUUUUUCUGGUGUCAAGCUUCAUUUUGGCUUUUGAAUCGUUGCAAAUGGUGCAUAAACAAGCUUGAUCGGAGCUUGGGAAGCUCCAACUUCGUUCUCCGAGAAAACUAGCCUGGAACCAGGUCGACUCGACUCGUGACCCUAUGACACAACUCUAAACCCAGCCCAAAACCUUGGGCCUAUAUAGCCAAGCCCAAAACAGAACCAGGCCCAAUCCUUUAGGCCUAAACCAAAUCCCAAAACCCCCGGCCUAAUCCAGAAACCCAGUUCACGGUUGGCCCGUGGGUGCGCGUGGUGACCGGCGCGUGGAGCACACACGCCUCAGCUGAAGGAACUGUGCUCCACCGCCGUCCACAGCAACAACUUUUGCGGCCAACUUUUCGGUGACUCAUCUUGAUGUAUGGUGGUGUGUGUGGCAACAAGUGGCCUUUCGGGCCGUCGCCUUGUGGCGGCGCGUGGGGGAAACCGGGGUCCCUUCUUAGGUUAUUCGACAUGCCAAAUCCGAAUCUGCUAUCCAUUUUUGGAAAUUCCAUCGUUUUAGUAGAAUUUUAUUAAAUGCACUCUCUUUGUGUUUAGGUGCAACAAUUGGAAACGAUCCAGUCCAUCCUAGUUCGAGUGGUUCUCCGGUAAUGGAGUACUUGUGAGUAGACCCCUUCUAAACUUACACAUUUUUAUAAAAAAAAAUUAGCCUAGCAUGCAUUUCAUACUUAAUGAUUUGAGCAUGUUUUAUAAUAUGUUUGACAGAGAAUUUAUGAUUUCUUUAAAUUGCUUUUACGGAAUAUUUAUGAUUUAUCGAAUUUACAUUUUACUAAAGGUUAUGAAUUAUUAGAAUUGCAUAUAUGAAAUUCUAUGGAUUUAGAAUAUGAGUUAUUUUGCAGGUUUACAGAUAUGAGAUUCCAUGGAUUUACGGAUAUGACUUACUAUGGAUUUAUGAGACGAAGUUUGAGCUUUUGAGCUAUGGUGAUUUGAAAUGAGAUUUUUAAGGUAUGUUUAAGGUACUUAUCUAAUGGGUUAUCAUACAACACAUCCACACAACACAGGUAUGUAGUCUAUGACCAUAUGACACAUUUAAGGAGAUUUAUGUAUAUACCUCUUCUCCGGCGUAACCUAGAGUCGUACAACUUCACCUUUGGGUGAUGGACCAUGGUUUUCUUCACUGGCAUAACCCAGUGGGGUGGUGGAUAGGUAUUGCCUUCAGAUGGAUGAGGAGCAGAUGAUAUUAAUGAUAUACCCCCAACUUCACUAGCCUAGGGUUAGUGUCAGUGUGUGAUGUUAUAUAUCCUCUUCUCUGGCAUAACUCGGAGUCGUACAACUUCACCUUUGGGUGAUGGACCAUGGUUUCUUCACUGGCGUAACCCAAUGUCGUAUAGCUUCACCUUCGGGUGAUGGACAGGUACUGCCUUUGGGCGACUAUGAUAUCCCUAGAAAUAGUACAUUUGAGGAGAUUUACGGAUUUACCUUCGGGCAGCUAUAUUACUAUUUCUGAACCCUGUUUUAUACACAUUGGUUUUACAAAUGAUUUCAUGGCAUGCUAGGGUUUUCUGGGAAACCUAUUAUGUAGUAUUAUAUUUGUUUGUAAAAAGGGGGUUAGUAUGUUCAGACAUAAAAUGGUUUUCCUAUUAUUAGUAUUAAUAAAAAUUAUGGUCCACUCACCUUUUCUUUUUUCGCCCCCUCAGGACAUAUCAACGAAGAGUACGACCCAAGCUUCGAGGCAUGUCCCUAUCAGUGACCUUGCAUCUCUCCACUUCAGUAUGGAUUCUUUUCAUGAUCAUUGUUACCUAUUGUUUUACUUCGCUCUAGCACUUUCGUUUAGUAGUAUGCUCUGGACAUAUUCAUGAUUGUUGAAUACUUCGUUUCGUUCAUGCUUAAAUUGAAUGCAUUGUUGUUAUUGCUUCUUAAUGUUGCAUAUUCGUUGUGAAUGUUAUUUCUUGCAAAAUUUUGUAUUUCUUAUUCAUUCACAUCCUCAUUGAUUCACACACUCAUAGCUUUCGUCAUCCUUGGGUGUCGGCCAACAUGUGCCAUCCAUGUGGCAUUUGGAUAUCUGGGUUGGGGCAUGUCAGUUUGGUAUCAGAGCUUUAUUGGUUCGAUUUUUAUUGAUUCCGCCAUAAUGUUUUACCUCCUCGAUCCGAUUUCAUUGGUUCCUUCUUAUGGUUUUACUGUUGUUGGUCUAGAGCAUACUUAAGAUUUCGCAUUACUCCCUUGAUUGUUAUUUCCCUUCCCUUGGUUGUUAUUUCGCUCCAAUAAUUUUUAUUUUCUUCCAUUGAUUGUUAUUUCCUUCCAUUCUAUAUAUUUCCUACCAUUGAUUUGUAUUUCCUUCUAUUGAUUGCUAGUUCAUCCAUUAAUUGUUAUUUCCUUCCAUGGAUGGUGGUUUCCUUCCAUUGUUGGUUAUUUCCUUCUAAUCAUUUUUAUUUCUUUUCAUUGGUUGUUAUUUCCUUUCCACUAUUACUAUGUCUUUCCAUUAAUUGUUAACUUCUUCAGAUUAUCGUUGUCUUACUCCAUUAAUUGUUAUUUCUAUCCGUUGAGUACUACUUCCUCCUGUUGACUACUAAUUUCUCCCGUCUUGAUUGAGAAAUAUUUUGUGAUGCUAAACUUUAUUUUUGUUGUUUCUCAUAAUCAUGAACACUCAUGGCGGAAAUGUAUCUCGUCGCAAUAAUAUUAUCUCGUGGCAAUAAUAUUCCUCAACGCCCACAUUUUGGUGUGUUAGGUAGAUUUCAGCAACUGGCUUCCGCUCUGCAACAUGUGUUCCCUAGGAACAGCGGGCAUAGCCACACCUACGUGGAGAUUGCCCGUGUCACGGGGUGAUUGAUUUGAAUAUUGUGGGCGCCUGUGAGGAGGCAAAAGAGUGGCUUGAAAAAGUUGAGGAUGUUUUUAAGGUGAUGCAUUGUCCUGAGAAAGAGCGGGCAAAAACAAUUGGUCAUUUUCUUCGAGAUGGUGCUAAGACCUGGUGGGAUUCUAUCAGACGAUCUUGGCCUUCUAACCCACCGACGACAUGGAGGAUUUUCCGAGAACUUUUUACAGAUUAUUUCCUUAGUCCUCAGUACAUAGCUAGAAAAAGACAAGAAUUUUAUGCUCUUCGCCAAGGAAACUUGUCAGUUAUCGAGCUCGAUUGCCAUUUUAGACGUUUGGUGAAACAUGUUCCCUCAGUUGAUGGUAACUAGCGGGAAAUGAUGUAUCAUCUUGGUAUCACUCUAAGGGAUAAGUUCCGCCCUUUUAUGUCAGUGACACAGUUUGACUCUUAUAAUAGUAUGAUCCAUACAACAUUACGAGUAGAGUGAUCAUUCCUAACUUCCAACAGUCAUAAUCGGUUUCGAGGUCAAUCUUCUCGGGGUCGAUGUUUCCGAUCACAGAGCACUAGAGAGUGCACUUCAUCAUCUAAUAUUGACCCGAGACAUUCAUUUUCGUUCAAAUGUCGUGGACAGGGAUCAUGAUCUUCUAAUGAGGGGUCAGGCAGCGAGGCAGCGAGACAGUUCUUCAGCCACUUCACACCCGCAAUCCCAAUGUGCAUGCGUUGUGGUAAACGUCACCGAGGAGGUUGUGUUGCCGGGGAUGGUCUAUGCUUCAGAUGUGGAGGUAUAAGACACUAUGCUCGUGACUGCCCUAUAAGGCGACCUUUUAAGAGCAUUGCAUCGGGUUCAGGCUAUGCUGGGGGGAGUAGCUCAGGUACUCAGGAGCAGAGCCAGGCACAUCAGCAGAGUUUGUGGACGGCUUCUGGCAACUGCACGUAGAGUAAUUGCCCAGGUAGAGGGUAAUCGUGGUGUUCGCACUCGCAGAGGUAGAGGUCGCAGCUCAAGUCAAGGUUACUGGGCGCAUUAACGUUAUGACUCAUCAGGAGGCAUAACAGGAUCCCCAAGUCAUCACAUGUAUGAUAUUCACUUUUGAUCGUUGGGUACAUGUUUUGAUUGAUCCGGGUGCUACAUUUUCAUUUAUAUCAUCACAGUUGGCACAGACUGUGAACCUGCAACCAACUGAGAUUGGUUUUGAUAUACUGCAUACAGUUACCUCAUGGUGAGAUAUUAUGUGCACAGUAGGAGUUUAAACAUUGCCCAAUUUAUGUAGAAGGUGUACUAUUUGAGGUGACUUUGAUUCCUUUUAAUUUGGUAGACUUUGAUCUCAUACUAGGGAUGGACUGGUUAUCUGUGCACGAUGCGCAUGUCGGUUGUAGGAGUAAAAUAAUGACCUUUCCUCGAUCUGGACAACCAGAUAUUGUAUUUCAAGGAGAACAAUGAAUUCUCCAUAACAAUAUUAUUUCUACCCACAAGGCAAUAAAGUCCUUACAGAAAGGUUGUGAGGGGUUCUUAGCUUAUGCAGUCGCACCGAGCGAACCUUCUGUUAGUGUUGACCAUGUGCCUAUCGUUUUAGUAGAGUUUUAUUAAAUGUACUCUCUUUAUGUUUUGGUGCAACAGUUGGAAGCGAUUCAGUCCAUCCUAGUUCGAGUGGCUCUCUAGUAGUGGAGUACUUUUGAGUGGACCCCUUCUAAACUUAAUUAUUUUUUUAUAAAAUAUUAGCCUAGCAUGCAUUUCAUACUUCAUGAUUUGAGCACGUUUUAUAAUAUGUUUUACGGAGAAUUUUAAAUUGCUUUUAUGGAAUAUUUAUGAUUUAUCGAAUUUACGUUUUACUAAAGGUUUUGAAUUAUUAGAAUUGCGUAUAUGAAAUUCUAUGGAUUUAGAAUAUGAGUUAUUUUGCAGGUUUACGAAUAUGAGAUUCCAUGGAUUUAUGGAUAUGACUUACUAUGGAUUUAUGAGACAAGGUUUGAGCUUUUGAGCUCCAAUGGUUUGAUAUGAGAUUUUUAAGUAUGUUUUCGGUACUUAUCUAGUGGAUUAUCAUACCACACAUCGACACAAUACAUGUAUGUAGACGUCUAUGGCCAUAGGACACAGUUGAGGAGAUUUAUGUAUAUACCUCUUCUCCGACAUAACCCGAAAUCGCACAGCUUCACCUUCGGGUGAUGGACCAUUGUUUUCUUCACUGAUGUAACCCAAUGGGGUUGUGGACAGGUAUUGCCUUCGGGCGGAUGAUGAGUAGAUGAUAUUGAUGAUAUACCCCCAGCUUCGCUAGCCCAGGGCUAGUGUCGGUGUGUGAUGUUAUAAUCCUCUUCUUCGGCGUAACCCGAAGUUGUACAACUUUAUCUUCGGGUGAUGGACCAUGGUUUCUUCACUGGCGUAACCCAAUGUCGUACAGCUUCACCUUCGGGUGAUGGACAGGUACUGCCUUCGGGCGACUAUGAUACCCCUAGAAAGAGUACAUUUGAGCAGAUUUACGGAUAUACCUUCGGGCGGCUAUACUACUAUUUUCGAGCCCUGUUUUAUAUGCAUUUGUUUUACGAAUGAUUUCAUGGCAUGCUAGGGUUUUCUAAGAAACCUAUUAUGUAGUAUUAUAUUUGUUUUUAAAACAGGGGGUUAGUAUGUUUAGACAUAAAAUGGUUUUCCUAUUAUUAGUAUUAAUAUAAAUUAUGAUCCACUCAUCUUUUUUGUUUUGCGCCCCCUCAGGACAUAGCGACAAAGAGUACGACCCGAGCUUCAAGGCAUUUCCCUAUCAGUGACCUUGCAUCUCUCCACUUGAGUAUGGAUUCUUUUCAUGAUCAUUGUUACCUGUUAUUUUACUUCGCUCUAGCACUUUCUUUUAGUAGUAUGCUCUAAACAUAUUCAUGAUUGUUGAAUACUUCGUUUCGUUCAUGCUUAAAUUGAAUGCAUUGUUAUUAUUGCUUCUUAAUGUUGCGUAUUCGUUGUGAAUGUUGUUUCUUGCAAAAUUUUGUAUUGCUUGUUCAUUCACAUACUCACUGAUUCACACACUCAUGGCUUUCGUCACUCUUGGGUGUCAACCAGCACGUGUCAUCCAAGUGUCAUUUGAAUAUCUGGGUUAGGAUGUGUCAGAAAAUUUGAAUGAAUAUGUGAGAAUAACAACCAUUCUCUUUGAAUAUCUAAAUAUAACAAAUGCUACUCUUGUCAUAUUUUUAUAUCAUAUUUGUAGUUGUACUCUUCUUUAAUAGAGAUAGAAUGCACUUGUGUUGGUACGUCCUAUUUUUAUUAGCGAGAUAAUACAAAUAUAAUAUGAAAAAUGUAAUAAUUGUAGAAUUAUUCCUAAAUAUAUAGUCUUAAACUAUACCUAAGGCUCCGAACAUAUGAAAACAUAAAGGAGAUAAACAAGAGGAUAAUUGCUUAUAAAGGAAAAACAAGAGGGAGAGUGCAAAAUAACUAUUUUUGGCUAUAACAAAGUCCUUAUGUUGAAUCAUUUUUGUAAUCAUUUUUUUUGUCUCAUUGUGUAAAAAAAAAAUUUAAUCAUUUUAUUAAAAAAAAUUAUUAUGUAGAGAUGAUAUUUAAAGGUGAUUAUUAUUUUUUUAUUAUACAAACGAUAUUAUCGUCACUGAGGGAAAUUGAGUUUAACCUCACAAUGAGCUAACAAUACAGUGGUUCAACUUCACCUUUAGCAAGAAUCGAACCUGAGAUCUCUCACUGACAAAUGAAGAGAAAUACUAUUUGACGAGAAUCAAACUUAAAACCUCUCAUUUACAUGUAAAAAAAGAAAAACUAUUAAAGUGGCAUAUUUAAAGAGUGACUUGAAGGUAUAAAGAAAAGUUUAAAGAGGAAGGUAUCCAGCUUUCCGUUUCCUCCAUGUCUCUUUUUUUCUGCAUGUUAGCUUCUCUAGUAAGCUCGAGUAUCCAUUUUCCAACCCCAACACCCUCCCCACAUUUCCGGCUGUCCACGUUGGCCAAUCAUCACCUGAGCCACUCUCAACCCUCACCACGGUGCCAACCCCUCCACCACCACCCCCACCACCUCCUCCUCCUCUCUCCGAUCUCCCCAAAUUCCAGUUACGAAAUCCUAAAAACAAGUAAGUUCCCUUCUUCCUCGCUAUUUAACAUUAUCUAGUUUAUUUGAUAUCUUCCAUGAAUUUAUAUUUUAUCGCCUAUGAAAUCCACGAAUAUUAAGUACUUAGUUACAUUUAGCGUUUUUGAAAAUUAUAAAAAUUAGUUUCAAAUCGAUUAUCAAGUAAUUUAGCUGCUAAACUGACUGGCAUAUGAUAGGAUUUUUAACAUCUAUGCAAAUAGGGUCAAAAUCACAUGAAAUACUUGCAAGAAUACAAGGAUAUUGUAGUAUAGAUGCUCAUGCAAGGUCGUUUUCCUCGAUGACUAUUUGGAUAAUUUAUGUAGAAACAAUUCCUAAUUAAAUACUUAGAAUUAAAACUUGAGAAAAGAGAGUUUGAGAGUGGAUAAUAUUAAAAAACGAAUUUUAAACAAAGACUAAAAUAAUCGAAGAAAAGAGUUUUAAAUACCAAUUUAUAAAGGCACUAAGGUUCCACCAUCACCUAACAAUCCUAUGAAUUGCUACCAAUUACUUACGAUUUACACAUGCCACUUCGAAGGUUAGGUUUUCCUAAUAUAUAUUCUCCUCGUGAUGUUCAAGCAAGAACGUAUAUCUAACAUGCAAUCCGUCUGUGAUAUUCAGAUCAAAUAUGAACAUGCAAGACUCAUUAAGUUUUAUGAAAACCUUUUGAAGAACCAUGCAACCCCUAAGAACGUGAUAUUCACCUUAGAUGAAAUUAAAAUUAUCAAUCACAAGAAGCAAUACUCAAUCCUCCGGUGAUAUUCCGACCGAAUUGCAUCCAAUUACUUGUCUAAACAUCCUAAUGGUGGCCAAUCAUCAAGAUAAUAAGAUAGUUUAAAACGGCAAUCAAUAAUUCAAAGUAUGCAUGGUUUCGCCCUAGCAAAAAGAAUUAGUUAUGCAUAUUCAUAAUUGAAAUCAUAGAAAAUAUUAUUAAAAAUAAAAGGAAUGAAAGCAUCUUAAAGUAGAAAAUCUCCAAGAACCAUAGCCAAGUUCUUUGUCUCUGAAAUUGAAUAAUAAUAAGCGUCCUCAAAAACUGUAGACGGCCAAAGCAAUAUAUUUGCUCAGCCCUUACAAACCCUAAGACCUUGGUUUCUUAUUCCAACUAGGAAACUAAGAAAAAAUAAUAAAAAUAUCUUAGAAAAUAAAACCCUAAUAUCUGCCAAGUACUUGUCCAGCCACGUUUUAGUCUCAGAUCUCCUCCAAAUCCGGCCCAAGAUAGGUUGUUUUAAAGAUAAGGACGUUCCAAACACAUCUCCAGAAGGCCACGAAACCAUCCGAGGUUAUCUUAGGCUCCAAAAACGCAAUUUAAUCCCACAAAUGUCAUUUUCCAGCACCGCGCAUCACUCCUUUAUUUUAUCGCCAAAAAAUAAUCGCUUGAUGGAAAAAUCCCAAAUUUUGAUACGACCAAGCUAAGUGACUCACGAACGUCUUCCAACUAGAAUUACUCCAAAAUUCGUCCAUUUGACCACGUUUUUCUCCAGAGGAAGUCGAAAGUCCUAUAUUGAAAAUACAAUUCAAAGUAUCAAAAUUCUUCCAAAAUAUUAACCAAAAUAUACUAAAAAUAGGGUUAAAUAUAUAAUAUAAAAUUCACUUAUCAGCAUACUUACUGACUGACUGGUUCUUUGUAGAUUUUGCUAAUUUGCCUCAGAAUCUGCAGCUUAUCUGACUAAAUUGUUCCAGUAUUUAGUUCAAUAGUUAGCAAAUCGAAGAAGGUUCGAUGGAAAUUCCAACUGCAUCAACAUAUGAUAAAAAACAAGAUAAAACUCUCCAAUGAAUUUGGGUGAUAAGGGAGAAACAAGUAAUCAUUUGGAGGAUCGGAUUGGUCAACUGCCGGACGCGAUUCUGAUUAACAUCAUUUCCCCUUUGAGGAUUAAGGAAGUAGCAAGGACUAGUGUCCUCUCUAAGAGGUGGAGAUAUUUGUGGACACAUGUUACACGUCUCAACUUUGCUCAUCAUGAUGGUGAACAUCUACGUACCUCCAUAAGGACCACAACAGUUAAUCCGUCAGAGAGACGUCGUCUAGAAGAAGCGACCAACAGAAGACAACGAAUCCGGCAAUCGCACCAGGGUUUAACACCUUUAAACUUAGGUGAAUUCAGAGGUGGUUCUUCCUCAGCAGGUUCCGGUUCAAGAUCUAGGCACCCCGAUGGGAUUCCAAGACAAAUUGACCCACCAUCACCACCACCGUGUACGGUGGUGACCGAAGUCCUGCGAUCGCAUCAGGGUCCAACCAUAGAUGGAGUCAGAAUUUGUGGAUCUUGCUAUAGCUCGGAUAAUGUCGAUGAUUUUAUCAAAUUUGCAAUUCAAAAGAAAGUUCAAUGGCUUGAGAUAUACCAAUCGAUAGAAAAAAAGGCCAAGUCUUGGGAGAAGCCUUUCAACAACCCUUUUGGUGUUUCACGCAUUAAGUCCCUUAGACACCUCUCUUUGAUGUGCAUGCCUAUAACUGAUGAAGUUGUUGGGCUGGUUGUAUCCGAAUGUCAACUUCUUGAACACCUCAGUAUUUUUGGCUCAAGCGAUCUUUAUGCUGUGAAAGCAGUUGGUUCAUCACUCCGGUUGAAGUUCCUACAAAUAAGUUAUUGCGGUGGCAUAGUCAGAGUUGAUAUUUCUGCCCCUAAUCUUGUGUCAUUUAUAUAUCCCAAACCAAAUGUGUAUAGAAGAGGAAUUCUUUUGAAACAUGCACCCAAGCUCGUCAACGUAUCUCUCUCAGAAGACGAACCUGAUAGUAUUACCAAACAUCUUCUGUCGAUAUCAGAUCGACUUUCAUGCCUACAGACUCUCGACCUGUGGAUGAAUCUGAGAAGGGUUAGACUCUCAACCUGUUAUUUACUUUAAAAUUUUCCUAGCUUCUUGUACUUGUUGGCUGAUCAUUUUCAAGUUUCUUGUGUUCCUGUCUUUCAGACAAAUAUUAUGCUCCCACAAUUUCCAGACUUAACUAGUCUCAAAGACUUGUCGUUGAUUAUACAUGCCCAAAAUAAUGGGCAAAGUCUCCUGGAUUUGACUUCCUUGUUAGAGCAAUCUCCUUUCUUGCAGAGAUUAACAUUGAAGGUAAAAAUCAAUACAUCUAUUAGAGUGGUUUAUGUCAUCGCAAAGCGUCUAUCACAUUUGUACAAGUCAUAUUUUGAUCCUCUACUUUUCAAAUAGAUUAAUGUGAUCAUCAACCUUGUAUUACUGAUAAUUCCGUUGUUCAUAUAGAAAGGGAAAGUUCGUUUCAUCAGUAUAGUUUACGAGUUUUCAGGAUUUGAGAAUGUAGUAAGUGAAGGUGUUCAAUUUUUUUCUUUACUGAAUUAAACUUCUGCAUGUUUUGAACUUUUGAUACAAGCGAUACUGGGGAGGAGAAAUCAAACUCGAGACCUUGGGUAUGAGGGUGGAUGCUCUUAACCAACUAAACUGCACGCCAUUUUUUCUCAAAAUUUUGCAUGUUUAAGUAACUUGUCGUCAGAAGAUUAAUAUGAUUGUGGUAUGCCCCUCUUGCAGAUACAAUGGGGACUUGUUUGCGAUGGUUAUACGAGAAACAUGCAGGAGAUUAAAAGAUGUCCUCAUCAAUGCCUUAAGGAGGUGAGAUUUUCUGGGUUCAUUGGGAUGGGCGGGUCAACUAUCGAUACGGAGUUUGCCAUAUGUACCUGUUGGAAAAUGCUGUAGUACUGGAAAAGUUUAUCAUAGAACUUGAAAAGGUCAAAUUAGGUAUAUGGCCCAAUAUACGGCCCAAAUUUGCUACACCGGAGGAGAAAUUAGAAGCAACAAGGGAGCAUGCUUUGCAGCUAAUUGGAACACAACUACCACCAGGAGCCGAGGUGGUUAUCAUAUAAGCCCCUUCAUUUACCUGUUUUUGCAGCAUACUUGAAGCUCUUUUUAGUCUGCAACAUUGUAUAAUUCGUAGUUUGCAAGUUUGUAAUUACUGAUCAUGUAAUCUAUUAGGGUGCGUUUGUUGCACCGGACUAACUCGGACUGGACUAGCUUUAGGAACUAAGCUGGAUUAGCUUAUACUAGACUAAGCUGGACUGAUUAGCGUUAGGUAUAAUGCAGGACUAAAAAAAAGAAUAGUUA